AUUGAACGCUGGCGGCAGGCCUAACACAUGCCAGUCGAGCGGAUGAAGCCAGUUUUCUCCUGGAUUCAGCGGCGGACGGGUGAGUAAUGCCUAGGAAUCUGCCUGGUAGUGGGGGAUAACGUCCGGAAACGGGCGCUAAUACCGCAUCCGUUCUGUGGGAGAAAGUGGGGGAUCUUCGGACCUCACGCUAUCAGAUUAGCCCAGGUCGGAUUAGCUAGUUGGUGGGGUAAAGGCCUACCAAGGCGACGAUCCAUAGCUGGUCUGAGAGGAUGAUCAGUCACACUGGAACUGAGACACGGCCCAGACUCCUACGGGAGGCAGCAGUAGGGAAUAUUCGACAAUGGGCGAAAGCCUGAUGCAGCCAUGCCGCGUGUGUGAAGAAGGUCUUCGGAUUGUAAAGCUCUUUAAGUUGGGAGGAAGGGCAGUAAGUUUAUACCUUGCUGUUUUGACGUUACCAACAGAGUAAGCACCGGCUAACUUCGUG
rnacentral:rRNA from 1 species